UAAAUGUGGGGCACGAAACGGCCGAAAUGCAGAGUUCGUUUGCGUACUAAAGUCAAACUGUUAAAUUCGCGUAUCGAUAGAAAGGAGUACGAACAUUAAAAAAAAGAACAAUCAGAACACAAUUAAAUUAUAAGAGAACUUUACGAGAAUUCAGUGCUCAGUGCUGUGCGAUAUCGCAUGAGAAUGAAAUUUCUCGCAGUCGUUUCGAUAAUUGUAAUACUGACGAUGUAUCUACCGAGAACAUGUUCACAAUAUCUGGACAAAUCACCGUUCUCUCAGAAAUUUGGCCCAAUUGGCCCUUAUCACAUCAUAUACACUCGGGUCAGAAAUGAUCCUUGUCCGGAAGGUCAAAGGAAGGAUCCUAACGGGAUUUGUCGAAUACUAAUAUAGCGAGAAGGACAUGCGAGGUCAGUUCCGGUGCCAUUAAAGUUCGUGGAGACGGUAAAAGACGGAAAAACGCGCACAGGAGAAGGAAGCUGUCCUAAAGGAGCAUCCAGCGGAAUUAAAUAAAUAAAAUUCUCUUACUACGUACGUUA